rnacentral:rRNA from 1 species
AAGCUCGUAGUUGAAUUUCGGGGUUAGUAGGUUGGUCAUGCCUCUGGUAUGUACUGGUCUCACUGAUUCCUCCUUCCUUAUGAACCGUAAUGCCAUUAAUUUGGUGUUGCGGGGGAAUUUGGACUGUUACUUUGAAAAAAUUAGAGUGUUUAAAGCAAGCUAACGCUUGAAUACAUUAGCAUGGAAUAAUGAAAUAGGACGUUCGAUCUUAUUUGUUGGUUUCUAGGUAUUGACGUAAUGAUUAAGUAGGGAUAGUUGGG